rnacentral:tRNA from 1 species
AUUUUGUUAGUCUAAUAAAGACGUUGAUUUGUGGAAUCAAAAAUGAUUUAUCUUCACAAAAUU